UACGAAGGGGGCUAGCGUUGCUCGGAAUCACUGGGCGUAAAGGGUGCGUAGGCGGGUCUUUAAGUCAGGGGUGAAAUCCUGGAGCUCAACUCCAGAACUGCCUUUGAUACUGAGGAUCUUGAGUUCGGGAGAGGUGAGUGGAACUGCGAGUGUAGAGGUGAAAUUCGUAGAUAUUCGCAAGAACACCAGUGGCGAAGGCGACUACCUGGCCUGUUCUUGACGCUGAGGCGCGAAAGCUAGGGGAGCAAACGGG
rnacentral:rRNA from 1 species